GACGAACGCUGGCGGCGUGCUUAACACAUGCAAGUCGAACGGGACGGCCCUGCUUUUGUGGGGUGCUCGAGUGGCGAACGGGUGAGUAACACGUGAGUAACCUGCCCUUGACUUUGGGAUAACUUCAGGAAACUGGGGCUAAUACCGGAUAGGAGCUCCUGCUGCAUGGUGGGGGUUGGAAGGUUUCGGCGGUUGGGGAUGGACUCGCGGCUUAUCAGCUUGUUGGUGGGGUAGUGGCUUACCAAGGCUUUGCCGGGUAGCCGGCCUGAGAGGGUGACCGGCCAAAUUGGGAUUGAGAUGCGGCCCAGACUCCUACGGGAGGCAGCAGUGGGGAAUAUUGCACAAGGGGCGGAAGCCUGAUGCAGCAACGCCGCGUGGGGGAUGACGGCCUUCGGGUUGUAAACCGCUUUCGCCUGUGACGAAGCGUGAGUGACGGUAAUGGGUAAAGAAGCACCGGCUAACUACGUG
rnacentral:rRNA from 1 species